GAAAGGGUGUAGGUGCAGGUACCCAUGAAGCUGUGUAGCUGCUUGUCGAAUGUAUGGUAGUGAGGGUCUCCUUCCACCACACAGGUCUCUGACAGUGGAAAGACCAGAGGGCAAGUUUAGUUGAGCACCUCCUGCUGCCUCUUCUCCCCAGAUCACCUUGCUCAAAGAGCAUCUGACCCAUGACUGGUCUGUACUCACCUGUGCCUGGCAUGGGUGUUGACGUGGGUGUUGAUGUGGGUGUCUCUUCUGAAGGUGUGGUGAUGGUGGUGCCUGGUGUGGUUGGAGUCAUAUCUACAAAAGAGGGAAUGAUAUAAAGAAAUGAAUCCUCCUUGACCAGCUUAUGUUCUGACAAUUGUUCUGACAAUGCUCUUCUAGGUCUAAUGAACAUGUAUUCAUGAAACAUUUGAAGAUGUUAUAAUGAAAUGAGUAGAAGUGACCAGUACUGAAAAAUUGACUAUAAAACAUGAAAUUUUAAGUGUUUGAGAAUGUGUGGUUUUUUACAAAUCCCUUCCUCAGUUGUCAUCAUAAUGCAUUAAGAUCCUGUAUUUUUACACUGUGUCAGUCACAAUCCUUUGUCAUUGCAAAUUGCUCAAAGAUGUCCUAUUUGGCAUAGUAGUAUUCAUCUGGCUCUCAAAAUCCUUUUUAGGUGGAAAUCUAGACUUCAUAAUGAGAAUUGUCUGACAUUUUUUUUACUGCUCAUAAACUGGUAUAAGAACUAUUGUUUUGGAAUUGGAAAGAGACUACAGAAUGGCAUUUCAUGUAAUAACCUCAUACUUAUGCUGUCAUUUCUGCUCGCUUUGGUAAUCACCUCUGGAGGUUCUAGAAAAAGCAAUUUAAAGAUACAAGGAAGAAAUUUUUUACAAUGAGGAUGGUGAAACAGUGGAAAUAUUCAUGGUCAGGUUGGAUUUUGAGUAACCUUGUCUAGUUGGAGACAUCCCUUCUUGUUGCAGGGAGGUUGAACUAGAUGACCUUUAAAGGUCUCUUCCAACCCAAACUGUUCUACGAUUCUAUGAAUUUCGUGCCUCUAGCCUUACCUCUGUGUUAACUCGUCUGCCUAGAUAAGAAGGACCUAAGGCUGCAUGGAUCUCAAGCUGCAGGAUUCUUUUUAUUAGUUUUAAAGCCCUUUUUUAUGCUUGGUGAAAAUUUGGAGCUGUAGAUAGUUUGGGCACUUUGCUGUUUCCUAAAGUAUCAUCUGAUACUUACGUCCUGUUGUCAUCCUUCACUAUCCAGCUGUCACCAAAUUUAUUUGGAUCCUGUUCUAGGACUUUAUCCGGGUUUAAAAAGUCAUCUAGUUGGUUGUCAUUGAAUGUUCCACAGAGACCACACAGCUGUCCUUUGAGACUUUCAUCAACCAGAAUGAAAAGCUCCUGAUCACCAUCAAACUUAACCUGGAUCCCUAGAGAGGUAUCAACGACCACGUAGUGUCCUUUUAUGGCUACUCUGGCUCCAUGGUUCAAAUCCACAGGAAGUUUAACCUGAACUCCAUCCACCUAAGGAAAACAAAACCCACAAAACCCAGUAAGUCAAUAAAGCUCCCAGGAACAAAGGGGAGGUCUGCACUGCCAGCACUAUAGUUUUCUCCACCGAGUCAGCCUUAUUCUAGUGAACAAUGGAGAUAACAGAAUUUUGAGGUUAAGCAGAGACUAAAGCAGUAUACACUUAUUUUCUACCUUGAAUAGUGCCCUGUAGCACAAGUUUAGCUUUGUGCUGUCACAACUACACACAAAGCAAUACUUGGAAUAGUUAAUUUAAAGCUAAAUCUUUGAGACUUAGUCCAGUAAAAGCUUUCUAUUAUAGAUGAAGUCAUGGAUGAAGCUGUUUCAUCCUACAAGCUCAUUUAGAAAAUAUCUGAAUAGACAAAAAGAUGCUAUGCUGAUUUCUGCCUUUUUGGGAAAAAAAAAUUCUGUGACUUUUAGCAUGUGCAGUCUUGGAGGUGAAUAAAUCAGAGAGGGCUGAUUCAGUUCUUUUGGGCAGAAAUGUAAAGUGCAUAGUGAUGGAUUGUUUAUGCUGAAAGUAGAACACUUACAUAGGUCUCUCUGUUUUUCUUCAAAACAAUGUGAAGGUUUUCCAGUGUGACAGAAACUGAGUUCAAGGCUGUCCAGUUCGGGUUUCCUCUAUGUUCAUUUCUGGUAGUCACUGAGAACUUUUCAGAAGAAUUUGUGCAUCUCUCAACAACAGUAUAAUUGCAGUCUCCUUGGAAAUGGUACAGUCUUCCAUCAAAGGUUAUAUAAUGUGGAUCCCCAAAAAUGUGGCAGGUGCUGGGAUUCAAUGGGUAACAUCCCAAGAGUCCAUUCUGUACCUUGCAAACUUUACUUAUUUCACACGUGUCUGAACUGCAAACUACAGUCCCAUUUCCAGCACAUACACAUUGGCCUACACAGUCUGGUUGCCAAAAAGAUUCUCCUUUCUGUUAGAGAAAUUCAAAUAAAUACAAAUUAGAAGA